rnacentral:rRNA from 1 species
CGCUGGCGGCAAGCUUAACACAUGCAAGUCGAACGGACCAUACGCGCAGCUUGCUGCGUGUAUGGUUAGUGGCAGACGGGUGAGUAAUGCAUAGGAAUCUGCCUAGUAGUAUAGGAUAGCCACUAGAAAUGGUGGGUAAUACUGUAUAAUCCCUGCGGGGGAAAGAUUUAUCGCUACUAGAUGAGCCUAUGUCAGAUUAGCUAGUUGGUGGGGUAAUGGCCUACCAAGGCAGUGAUCUGUAGCUGGUCUGAGAGGAUGAUCAGCCACACUGGAACUGAGACACGGUCCAGACUCCUACGGGAGGCAGCAGUGGGGAAUAUUGGACAAUGGGCGCAAGCCUGAUCCAGCUAUGCCGCGUGAGUGAGGAAGGCCUUAGGGUUGUAAAACUCUUUCAGUAGGGAAGAUAAUGACGGUACCUACAGAAAAAGUCCCGGCAAACUC